rnacentral:rRNA from 1 species
CGGGUGAGUAACACGUGGAUAACCUACCUAUAAGACUGGGAUAACUUCGGGAAACCGGAGCUAAUACCGGAUAAUAUAUUGAACCGCAUGGUUCAAUAGUGAAAGACGGUUUUGCUGUCACUUAUAGAUGGAUCCGCGCCGCAUUAGCUAGUUGGUAAGGUAACGGCUUACCAAGGCAACGAUGCGUAGCCGACCUGAGAGGGUGAUCGGCCACACUGGAACUGAGACACGGCCCAG